AGUCAGUGUGAGGGGUGGGCACGGACCUAGGGGUCCCCCAGCUUGAGCAAUAAUCCCUUUAUACAGUAGGUUCUCUGACUUGGGGGACCCCCUUCUUCCAACCUGAGCUGCGUGGCUGUGGAUCCCCGCAGGGCGCGUGGGAAUGGGGGAGGGGCGAACGGAGUAUUAUUUGAUAGGGUUUGAACUGCUCUCUUGCUCCCAGUACACCUUCCCUACAACCUAACACAGUGCCUCAGGUUGCGCCAUUACAUUUCCAGCCCUUUGGGUCUUAGAGGCAUUGAAGGUUCCCAGAGUCUCCUUGGAAACUGCCAACAUCCCUGGGAGAGGGAACCCCCUAAAGUGUUAGCAUCCCACGCCCGCGAUAGGGAUUCGUUGGCCACCAGCGGAAGGAGUUGGGCCUGGAGAACAAGAUCCAGGGUAUUAAAAGUUGGGUGCAUAUUUCACAACUGAAGAAGGCCACAUCUGACAUUUGGCCCUGUGUGAAUGCUAAAGACCUCAAAAUCAAAUUGACUAGGAGGAGAAGUAGCUGAAAUCAAGGUAGACUGCUUUCUCCCAAGAAGUUAGAUUGAUGAGGGAGCAUAAGCUUAUUACACAACUCAAGCAAAAGACCCUGCAGACAAAGUAUCCACUUAUGGGAACCAAAACUACCUCCUGAAGCAAUAAGGCGUGCCCUGAGCCAGCCAGAUCCCACUCAUGACAAUGCUCGACCACACCUUUACUGCCUUAGGUACCCACCGAACUUUGUCCCACAUUUUCCUUAUAUAAACCUGGAAAUACUUUCAGCACUUCGAGAGUCUUUGAGAUCUUUGAGAUGCUAGUCCGCUGUCUUCCCCUCAAUGAAAUAAAUUCCUCUCUUGUUUCACUACUACUCAUUGCUCUGCCUUUAGAUUUUGUCAGCAGUGAGUGGAUAAACCUGGUCUGUUUAGGAUCCCCAGAGACAGGUGCCCUUGCAUCCCUGUGCCCCGGCUACCAGCCAACUCUGGGCUCUAUACUUCCUUCCUUCUUUCUUAUUUAUUUUCUAUUUUUUCUCUUCCUUGUUUCUUUAUCCUAUAAAGUCUUCCUGCCUCCUGCCCCAUUUUGCAGUUCUCUGGACCUUGGGAACAGAGACUACAGCUUCAUGAGGUACUAAAUACAGUUUGUAUUACCGGUUAAAAAGAAACAAUAAGCCCCCAAAUGGAGUCAGUUUUGCUUAGCAUCAUCAAGACUUAAAGCCUAACCUAGUUGGAGUUUCAGCUUCUCCCAGGGGUGGAAUUUUGAACCAAUUAUUCGGCAAUUUCCUAGUCAGCACUAGUGAGGUAAUCUGCACGAUAAGACCCUUUGUCUUCCCCUAAGGAAAGGUAAACUUGGCUGAAAUGUUCCACUCUUUUAACUUCCUUGCCCCAUCUUCCUUCUGACUAUAAAAUCCUUCCAUUUUGUACAGUUCCCCUGAGCGCCUUUCUACUUGCUACCUGGUAUGCUGCCAGGUUCAUGAAUGGUUGAAUAACGCCAAAUUUACUUCGUUGAAUU